rnacentral:misc_RNA from 1 species
AACGCACAUUGCGCCCCUUGGUAUUCCGGGGGGCAUGCCUGUUCGAGCGUCAUUAUAACCCUCAAGCUCAGCUUGGUGUUGGGGCAUGCCAGUAGGCAGCUCUUAAAAUCAGUGGCAGUGCCCUCUGGCUCUAAGCGUAGUAAUUCUUCUCGCUAUAGGGUCCGGAGGUGCUCGCGCCAGAACCCCCAAUUUUCUAUGGUUGACCUCGGAUCAGGUAGGGAUACCCGCUGAACUUAA